rnacentral:rRNA from 1 species
AUGAAGGAUAUUGUAGAGAAACUGCAGCAUAUGCGGAAUGAGAUUAACAAGAUUCUGCAGGGUUCUGCCCCUAAAACUGUCCCAGACAUUGCCCAGGGUCGUCCUAUCACCAAAGGUCGAAUUGAUGAGCCAAAACUGUAUGGGAGGGACCGUGUCAUGAAGAGCAUCAUGGAUGAUAUCACCAAGGGUCAAUACUGUGACAAUGGUCUAACCGUGCUCCCGGUUGUUGGUCCUGGAGGAAUGGGGAAGACAACUCUGAUACAACACAUAUAUCGCAACGGACAAGUGCAGAAUCAUUUUCCAGUCACUAUUUGGAUAUGUGUGUCAGUCAAGUUUGAUCUGGAAAAAGUGCUAGGACAGAUUAAAACAUGUAUUCCUAAAGUUCAAGAUGAAAAAGAGAGCAGUACAACAGAAGAGUUGAUUGAACAAAGAUUAAAAUCUACAAAGUUCUUACUUGUAUUGGAUGAUAUAUGGAAGAUUAGUAAUGGGGAUGACUGGGGAAAAUUAUUGUCGACACUCAAUAAAUCAGAGGAAAAGGGUUCCAUGAUUCUGGUCACAACCCGGUUUCAGGCAAUAGCACAGAAGACUCAAACAACUGGCCAUUCAGUAGAGCUGGAUGGUUUAGAAUAUGAAGAGUUUAGAAAGUUAUUCCUUGCAUUUGUCUUUGGUGAUGAGCAAUAUCCAAGGGACAAACAAUUUUUGCUUGAGACUGGAGAUAAGAUAAUGGAAAAACUAAAGGGCUCCCCUCUUGCAGCAAAAACGGUUGGUAGAUUACUGAGUAAAGACCUUAGUUUGGGUCACUGGAAAAAGGUCCUAAAAAGUAAAGGAUGGGAGAAGCAGACCGAUGACAAUGAAAUUAUGCCUGCCUUGAAGCUUAGCUAUGACUUUCUUCCUUUCCAUCUGCAACAAUGUUUUGCCUAUUCUGGAUUGUUUCCUGAAGAUUACGGUUUCAGAAGUGACGAGCUGAUCAGUCUAUGGAUCGGACUAGAUAUUUUGAUACCCAAUGGCCAAAACCAAAUAUUUGAAGACAUAGGGCUGAGCAAUUUAAAUGAGUUAGUCAUUCAUGGAUUUUUCAGAGAAGAGGAAACUGAUGGUGAUCUGUGUUAUGUUAUGCAUGACCUGCUGCAUGAUUUGGCAUUGAAGGUUGCAUCUCAUGAUUGUCUUAGUUUAAGUCUCCCUAUUGUUGGAUCAGUAGAGAUUCAACCAACCACCUGUCACUUGUCUAUAAGCACAUAUGGUUUAGGUAAAUAUGAUGCAGUAUCUGGUAAAAAAUUGAAGAGUGAAUUGGAAGAACUAAAGACAAGAUUUAAGGUUGAAGAUUUGCAAACAUUGAUGUUAUUUGGAGAAGUGGAUGAAGGUUUUGUCAAGAUAUUUGGUGAUUUUUUGGAGGAAGCGAACACUCUUCGUGUUCUUCAUUUGCCCAAAAUGUGUUGUCCCGUGGAGUUCAUGUUACAUAACUUUUCGGGACUUCUCCACCUACAAUACCUAUGUCUAGGGACACAUGACAGUCAGAUGCAUUUACCACUUAGCAUCUCUAAAUUUUAUCAUUUAAGGAUUCUAGGUCUUGAGUUGUGGCAUGGUCGUCGUGAUUUGCCCAAAGACAUGAGCAACCUUGCCAAAUUGUGCCAUUUUUAUGUCCCAAGUGAUGAUCAGCUCCAUUCUGAUAUUUAUAAUGUGGGAAAACUUAAACUCUUAGAAGAGCUAAAGGUAUUUCAAGUCUAUAAAAAAAGUGAAGGGUUUGAACCAAAGGAACUAGAGCACUUGACCAAGCUAAGGGAGCUUGGCAUCUACAACCUUGAGAAAAUACGUAAAGAGGAAGAAGCAGCUCAAGCAAAACUGAUAGAGAAAAGCUAUCUGAGGAAGUUAACAUUGGAUUGGGAUAGUGAGCGGUUUAGUGUUGAGCCCAGUGUGGAAGCAGUAGUUCUUGAGAGCCUUCAACCUCAUGGAGAUCUUCAGGUGUUGUGCAUUAGAGGGCAUGAAGGUCCUUCUUGUCCGACAUGGCUGGGUGAUGAGUUCGCUGUUGAAGCUCUACAAUCUCUUUAUCUUUGUGGUGUUUCCUGGGAAGUUUUCCCUUCUUUAGGGAAGGCGUGGGAUCUUCGUGGAUUGAAAUUGAAGCAUAUUGCCAAAAUGAAGGAGUUUAUUAUAGAGGAAAGCUUUUGCAGGCUAAUAAAGCUUAAACUCAUUGGCCUAGGAAGUUUUGCAAAAUGGGUUUACCCAACUGAAGAAGAGUCUUCUGUUGGUGGGGACUUGUUGCCACCGGAUGCUCAUAUGUUCCCUCUUUUGCAAGUUCUGGUUAUUAGGAGGUGCCCGAAACUGUUGGGGUUGCCUUUCUCAAACCACAUCGUUUCCCCGAACCGGUUCCCCAAGCUACAAGAGCUUGAGGUACAUGACUGUCCCAAAUUCUUGCCAGUGAUUCCCAUCUCCUGGAUUGAAAGUCUGUGUUCUGUCAAGAUGAAAUGUGUAAAGAUGCUAGAGGAGUUUGCGUACUCAAAAUCGUCUGAUGGAGUUAAAUUGAAAAUUAUCGGAGAGGGUGAUCUGCAUAGCUUAGAUGAAGUGUUAGUUUUAGAUAAAGAAACAGGUCUUGAGAAGCUGGAACUCGAGAGUUGCCCACCUCUGGAGUUGAAGCACCUUCUGAUGCUAACCUCGCUGAAGACAUUGAUUGUAAAAUAUUCAGAUGGUCUGGUUGGACCAGUAGGAGGUCAGGGUGAUGUGGAAUGGCGGCUCCCUGUUGAGUACAUGAGGAUCUCGGACUUAAAUGGUGAUAUUGGGGAGGAAUUGACAGAGCUCCUCCCCCACCUCCCAAAGCUCUCCAAAUUGGAAAUAUGCUUUUGUAAUAGCAUAAAAAAGCUGAUAGUAGGGGUGGAUGUACAACAGACAACAUCAGAAGCAUCAGAAAUGGGGGGAGGUGAAAUAACAGCAGCAGCAGAGGAAGAGGAUGAGGAAGAUGAAUUGACGGCAUCAGAAGAGGAAGAGAUGGAGGAAGAUGAAAUAACAACAUCAGAAGCAUCAGAGACAGAGGAAGAUGAAACAACAACAGCAGCAGAGGAAGAUCAUGACGGUGUGCUGCUCUUCCCAGCUCAUCUCUGUAACUCACUACAGGAAUUGGAGUUGAUUCACUGCAAAGAGAUGGUCCUGGUGGACCCACCAACUCUUGUUCCUGGAGAAGGAUGGCUACAAGCCUUGCGAUCCCUCCAGAGAUUAACAAUAUAUUCCCCAAAGUUUCUAUCUGCAUUCACGUCUUCCUGUCAUGUUUUUCCUUCCUCCCUGCAGUACCUGAAGCUUAGGGGUGUGGAAGGCAUGGGGACACUCGAGCCCCUCUCAAACCUCUCCUCCCUUACCAGAUUAGAAUUGGAGGAUUGCGGAGAGGAUCUGAAAUGUCAGGGUUUGCAGUCUCUUGUUACCACCGGGGGGCAGCUUAAGUGUUUAGAAGUCAUGUGGGUCAAGGAAUUACAAGUCUGGGACAGCUCUAGAUUCUUUGCUGGUUGGGAUCCCAGACAGGAGAAACAGCUUGUUUCAUCUACGCUACAGGAGCUCUGCACGGAUGACAUAGCGGGGCUCCUUUCUGCACCCGUCUGCAGCUUCUUCUCUUCUGCACUCACCAAGCUGAAACUUCGGGGGUGGGACUACAAAGGGAUGGAGUGCUUCAGCAGGGAGCAAGAAAACUCACUUCAGCUCCUCUCCCACCUCCAGGAACUCGACUUUUUCUCAUUCGACAACCUUCAGCAACUCCCCGCAGGGCUGUGCAACCUUACCAGCCUCAAGAAAUUAACAAUCGACAGCUGCCCAGCAGUCUCGUCGUUGCCCAAUGAUGGCCUCCCUGAAUCACUGCAAGUGCUAUAUGUCAGAUACAAAUGCAGCCAGGAGCUAAAACAGCAGUGCAGGGGGUUGGAGGGAACCAUCCCAAGAAUCAUAAUAGACUAG